CCUACGGGAGGCAGCAGUGGGGAAUAUUGCACAAUGGGCGAAAGCCUGAUGCAGCGACGCCGCGUGAGGGAUGACGGCCUUCGGGUUGUAAACCUCUUUCAGCAGGGAAGAAGCGCAAGUGACGGUACCUGCAGAAGAAGCACCGGCUAACUACGUGCCAGCAGCCGCGGUAAUACGUAGGGUGCGAGCGUUGUCCGGAAUUAUUGGGCGUAAAGAGCUCGUAGGCGGUCUGUCGCGUCGGAUGUGAAAGCCCGGGGCUUAACCCCGGGUCUGCAUUCGAUACGGGCAGACUAGAGUGUGGUAGGGGAGAUCGGAAUUCCUGGUGUAGCGGUGAAAUGCGCAGAUAUCAGGAGGAACACCGGUGGCGAAGGCGGAUCUCUGGGCCAUUACUGACGCUGAGGAGCGAAAGCGUGGGGAGCGAACAGGAUUAGAUACCCUGGUAGUCCGACGCCGUAAACGUUGGGAACUAGGUGUUGGCGACAUUCCACGUCGUCGGUGCCGCAGCUAACGCAUUAAGUUCCCCGCCUGGGGAGUACGGCCGCAGGCAAAACGUCAAAUGAAUUGACGGCUUGAGAGNGCGAGCGACGACGAGGGAGAGG
rnacentral:rRNA from 1 species